rnacentral:rRNA from 1 species
GAUGAACGCUGGCGGCGUGCCUAAUACAUGCAAGUCGAGCGAACGGACGAGAAGCUUGCUUCUCUGAUGUUAGCGGCGGACGGGUGAGUAACACGUGGAUAACCUACCUAUAAGACUGGGAUAACUUCGGGAAACCGGAGCUAAUACUGGAUAAUAUUUUGAACCGCAUGGUUCAAAAGUGAUAGACGGUCUUGCUGUCACUUAUAGAUGGAUCCGCGCUGCAUUAGCUAGUUGGUAAGGUAACGGCUUACCAAGGCAACGAUGCAUAGCCGACCUGAGAGGAUGAUCGGCCACACUGGAACUGAGACACGGUCCAGACUCCUACGGGAGGCAGCAGUAGGGAAUCUUCCGCAAUGGGCGAAAGCCUGACGGAGCAACGCCGCGUGAGUGAUGAAGGUCUUCGGAUCGUAAAACUCUGUUAUUAGGGAAGAACAUAUGUGUAAGUAAAUGUGCACAUCUUGACGGUACCUAAUCAGAAAGCCACGGCUAACUACGUG